CCUACGGGUGACUGCAGUCGAGAAUCAUUCACAAUGGGGGAAACCCUGAUGGUGCGACGCCGCGUGGAGGAAUGAAGGUCUUCGGAUUGUAAACCCCUGUCAUGUGGGAGCAAAUUAAAAAGAUAGUACCACAAGAGGAAGAGACGGCUAACUCUGUGCCAGCAGCCGCGGUAAUACAGAGGUCUCAAGCGUUGUUCGGAAUCACUGGGCGUAAAGCGUGCGUAGGCUGUUUCGUAAGUCGUGUGUGAAAGGCGCGGGCUCAACCCGCGGACGGCACAUGAUACUGCGAGACUAGAGUAGUGGAGGGGGAACCGGAAUUCGCGGUGUAGCAGUGAAAUGCGUAGAUAUCGAGAGGAACACUCGUGGCGAAGGCGGGUUCCUGGACAUUAACUGACGCUGAGGCACGAAGGCCAGGGGAGCGAAAGGGAUUAGAUACCCGAGUAGUC
rnacentral:rRNA from 1 species